AUACGGAGGGUGCAAGCGUUGUUCGGAAUCAUUGGGCGUAAAGCGCGUGUAGGCGGUCACUUAAGUCUGGUGUGAAAUCCCGGGGCUCAACCCCGGAAGUGCAUUGGAUACUGAGUAGCUAGAGGACGAGAGAGGGAAGCGGAAUUCCUGGUGUAGGGGUGAAAUCCGUAGAUAUCAGGAGGAACAUCGGUGGCGAAGGCGGCUUCCUGGCUCGUACCUGACGCUGAGACGCGAAAGCGUGGGGAGCAAACAGG
rnacentral:rRNA from 1 species